rnacentral:rRNA from 1 species
GAUGAACGCUGGCGGCGUGCCUAAUACAUGCAAGUCGAGCGAACGGACGAGAAGCUUGCUUUUCUGAUGUUAGCGGCGGACGGGUGAGUAACACGUGGAUAACCUACCUAUAAGACUGGGAUAACUUCGGGAAACCGGAGCUAAUACCGGAUAAUAUUUUGAACCGCAUGGUUCAAAAGUGAAAGACGGUCUUGCUGUCACUUAUAGAUGGAUCCGCGCUGCAUUAGCUAGUUGGUAAGGUAACGGCUUACCAAGGCAACGAUGCAUAGCCGACCUGAGAGGGUGACCGGCCACACUGGAACUGAGACACGGUCCAGACUCCUACGGGAGGCAGCAGUGGGGAAUCUUCCGCAAUGGGCGAAAGCCUGACGCAGCAACGCCGCGUGAGUGAUGAAGGUCUUCGGAUCGUAAAACGCUUUUAUUAGGGAAGAACAUAUGUGUAAGUAACUGUGCACAUCUUGACGGUACCUAAUGAGAAAGCCACGGCUAACUACGUG